rnacentral:misc_RNA from 1 species
GCAAACUUGGUCAUUUAGAGGAAGUAAAAGUCGUAACAAGGUCUCCGUUGGUGAACCAGCGGAGGGAUCAUUAAAGAGUUAAACAACUCCUAAACCCAUGUGAACCUACCUUUGUUGCCUCGGCAGGUCUGCAACUUACCCGGAGGGGACCUACCCUGUAGGGACCUUACCCGGUAGUUGCCGGCAUAACCUGCCGGUGGUCUACUAAACUCUGUUUACUAUGUUAUUCUGAAUAAUAUAACUAAAUAAGUUAAAACUUUCAACAACGGAUCUCUUGGUUCUGGCAUCGAUGAAGAACGCAGC